rnacentral:antisense_RNA from 1 species
CUGUCGCGAAGCUCCCGCCCAAGCCGACCACGUGCCGCGAGCCUGGGGAGAGCCCACUCCCGCGCCCCUUCCGGGCCCACUACCCCACCGGGCUGUGACCCAUCGCCCCAGUGCCUGAUUGGCAUCUUCUGCUUCUUGAAUCCCCAUGCAGAAAACGUGGCUACCAACAGCUUCUGAAUCCACCUGCAGAGAGACUGACUGCUCUGUUAUUCCCCCAGCAUCUGUGAAGAGGCUCUGACUGGCUAAAAUGAAGGAGUCUGUAGCUUUAGGGGAAGACAGAGCCACAAGAUGAAAGGAGCUUGGAUGUCUGAACUAUUCCAUGGAGAAAAGCUGCAGCCAAUGAAGAACACCUGCAAUGGACUCUUAACCUGGGGGUGACGACAACCACUGAAAUAUGCUGCAUCUUAGUCCAGGGAUUUUUAAAGUGUGGUUCCUGGAAGAGCUGGAUCAGAGUCAUCUGUGUUGAUGGUUUAACGUAAAGAUUUUCGGGCCCCAAGACUCAAGUAGGACAAGGAAUUUGAAUUUUUAAGCAGCUCACCUGACUUGUCUGUCCUCUAAUGUCUGAGGACAUCUGACCUCUGCUCUUUCAGUAAAAGCAACAAUGGUUUUA